GACGAACGCUGGCGGCGUGCUUAACACAUGCAAGUCGAACGGAAAGGCCCUGCUUUUGUGGGGUGCUCGAGUGGCGAACGGGUGAGUAACACGUGAGUAACCUGCCCUUGACUUUGGGAUAACUUCAGGAAACUGGGGCUAAUACCGGAUAGGAGAUCUUGCUGCAUGGUGGGGGUUGGAAAGUUUCGGCGGUUGGGGCUGGACUAGCGGGUUAUCAGCUUGAUGGUGGGGUAGGGGCUGACCAAGGGUUUGAAGGGUAGCCGGCCUGGGAGGGUGACCAGCCACAUUAGGACUGCGGUACGGACCAGUCGCCUACGGGAGGCAGCAGUGGGGAAUAUUGCGCAAUGGGCGGAAGCCUGAUGCAGCAACGCCGCGUGCGGGAUGCCGUCCUUCGGGUUGUAAACCGCUUUCGCCUGUGACGAAGCGUGAGUGACGGUAAUGGGUAAAGAAGCACCGGCUAACUACGUG
rnacentral:rRNA from 1 species